ensembl:lncRNA
UUAGUAGUAUAAGGCUAUGGGUUAGUAGUAUAAGGCUAUGGGUUAGUAGUACAAGGCUAUGGGUUAGUAAUACAAGGCUAUGGGUUAGUAAUAUAAGGCUGUGGGUUAGUAAUACAAGGCUAUGGGUUAGUAAUAUAAGGCUAUGGGUUAGUAGUAUAAUGCUAUGGGUUAGUAGUACAAGGCCAUGGGUUAGUAAUACAAGGCUAUGGGUUAGUAAUAUAAGGCUAUGGGUUAGUAGUAUAAGGCUAUGGGUUAGUAAUAUAAGGCUGAGGGUGCAGUAGUAUAAGGCUGUGGGUUAGUAAUAUAAGGCUAUGGGUUAGUAAUAUAAGGCUAUGGGUUAUUAGUAUAAUGCUAUGGGUUAGUAGU